AGUCACCAGAAGGCAGGUGUGAGCCGUCUGUUAUGCCCGGACAGGGCCACCAGAGGGCUCCUUGGUCUAGCGGUAACGCCA
rnacentral:miRNA from 1 species